UGCCAGAGUGGAAGUCCAAAUGGGGAAAAGGCUUGCAGGCUUAGAUAAGCCGAGCAGAGUGGACCUUUACUGACAGGCCACUACUGGAAACAGACGGGCCGCCCGGCAGAAGGGUGUUUGGUGGGCACAGAGGAGAAGUGCAGAACGGAAGCCAUCCCCGAGGCCCCCCUGACCAAUUUCAAGCUCUGUGCAUGGUGGAAGGCCUGUAUGUCUUGUCUCUGGAGAAGGAGGCCUUUUGUAAAUAUACUAACGUGGUUCAGUAUUAUGCACGUGAGACAGAAGGUCAGUUCCCUGGGGAGUAGGGUUAUCUGGACACGUUAGAGCUUGCUGGCCAACAAGAGGAAAAUGGCUCUUUGGAAGUCACCCCUGCUCCGAGGUGUUCUCUGGGAACACUUGCUGAGUGCCGGGGAAUCCUUCUCAGAGCACACAGCACGUCCAUUUCUCAUCGCCAUUCAGGAAGGAGGAGGGUUUCUCCUGAACAGAAGGGCAAAAAAGAUGCUUUCGUCUGUGGAACAAAGAGCCUCCCUCCUCUGAGCUGGCCCAUGGAGCCCUGUCCAUGCAGCAGGCCCAACCUUGAGCACACGGAUAGCCACGUCUGACUCUUCAACAUUCUGUACCCUCUGCCCGCCUCGUACCCAAAACUUCCAGCACACCCUCCUCCACAACCGCCGUUCCCUGAAGACCAUCUACCUGAGGCCGUGCGUUCAUCCUAAGUUACUAGAACAUGGCCCUUAGCAAGCCCAGAAUCCCUGUUUGUUGAAUCACUCUACUGAAGAAGGUCAUGGAAUCUAUCACUGUCAUAAACAUGCCUCUGAUUUCCAUCACUGGGCAAGUUUGGGAAGCUCUGAGUUGAUACAAACACAUUCAUUUGGAACAAUGAAAAUAAAGAAAUAGGGUAAGGGCGCAUUAGGGUCUGGGAAGGUUCACUGAUGUUCUUCUAUCGGCCCAGAUGAGAUGGGGUGGGAGAGGCAUGUGGAACAAAGAGAAGUGAUGCAGUUCCACCCAGAAGGACCGUGACAAAUGGCGUGGAGACCACCCGACCCUUCAUUGAGAGCAUCUAAGUAGUGGUAGCCUUUCAAGAGAGGUUGAGUCCGCUGAACCCUGAACGUGAGGACUUGAAAAGCAACUGGGCCUAUUUGUACAGAAACCGUCACCUUAGGCCUCCGGCUUACCCACCACCUCUAAACUGGACGGGCCCACAUUGAAACCUGUUUCAAUUGCAGUUCUUAUUCUGUUUCGUAAGUAGUUCUCAUCACCCGCAUCGGAGACGAUUUGAAAAUUAAGGCCAAUCCACUUGUAACACACCUUAAAACUCAUACGAAGAACAAAGUCCCUGUGUCAUAUCCCCAGCUGCCUGAUUUGAGGGAAAGAAGCCUUGCCACAUCAAUAUUAUUCUGCACUGAAAGCUUUCUACACUUAAUCCCCCCAGUUCACAGCUGAAGCCCUCGUGAGUCUUCUGGAAAUCGAGCCGUGCUAACGCGUUCGUGUCGUAAAUAAGCGAAGUUACGUGAAGUAACUUCUCCGCAAGACAGUUCCUGAUUUGUCUAUAUCCCACCCCUCGUCUUCUGUGCACGCAGCUGACCCCGAGAUGGCCGGUGCAGACCAGAGCCCAUUAGGCAUAAUAGCGUGUUACCAUUUAUUGUGUGCAACGUGCCAGGAAUUCUGGUGUUCAUCCCUUCCCGCUCCAUGAACCCAUUUUCUGUUCCUUAACAGCACUGGUGUCCCACUGACCUUGGGUUUAUUUAUUUUUGAGCGACAGAGAGGGAGAGA